UACGUAGGGGGCAAGCGUUGUCCGGAUUUAUUGGGCGUAAAGAGCGUGUAGGCGGCUUGGUAGGUCCGCUGUGAAAACUCGAGGCUCAACCUCGAGAUGUCGGCGGAAACCACUUGGCUAGAGUCCGGAAGAGGAGAGUGGAAUUCCCGGUGUAGCGGUGAAAUGCGCAGAUAUCAGGAGGAACACCAAUUGCGAAGGCAGCUCGCUGGGACGUUACUGACGCUGAGACGCGAAAGCGUGGGGAGCAAACAGG
rnacentral:rRNA from 1 species